CCUACGGGUGGCAGCAGUGGGGAAUAUUGGGCAAUGGGCGCAAGCCUGACCCAGCAACGCCGCGUGAAGGAAGAAGGCUCUCGGGUUGUAAACUUCUUUUCUCAGGGACGAAGCAAGUGACGGUACCUGAUGAAUAAGCCACGGCUAACUACGUGCCAGCAGCCGCGGUAAUACGUAGGUGACAAGCGUUAUCCGGAUUUACUGGGUGUAAAGGGCGUGUAGGCGGGAAAGCAAGUCAGAUGUGAAAACCAUGGGCUCAACCUGUGGCCUGCAUUUGAAACUGUUCUUCUUGAGUGAUGGAGAGGCAGACGGAAUUCCGGGUGUAGCGGUGAAAUGCGUAGAUAUUAGGAGGAACACCAGUGGCGAAGGCGGUCUGCUGGACAGCAACUGACGCUGAGGCGCGAAAGCGUGGGGAGCAAACAGGAUUAGAUACCCCUGUAGUC
rnacentral:rRNA from 1 species